CCUACGUGAGGCAGCAGUGAGGAAUAUUGGUCAAUGGGCGCGAGCCUGAACCAGCCAAGUAGCGUGAAGGAUGACUGCCCUACGGGUUGUAAACUUCUUUUAUAAAGGAAUAAAGUGAGGCACGUGUGCCUUUUUGUAUGUACUUUAUGAAUAAGGAUCGGCUAACUCCGUGCCAGCAGCCGCGGUAAUACGGAGGAUCCGAGCGUUAUCCGGAUUUAUUGGGUUUAAAGGGAGCGUAGAUGGGUUGUUAAGUCAGUUGUGAAAGUUUGCGGCUCAACCGUAAAAUUGCAAUUGAUACUGGCAGUCUUGAGUACAGUUGAGGUAGGCGGAAUUCGUGGUGUAGCGGUGAAAUGCUUAGAGAUCACGAAGAACUCCGAUUGCGAAGGCAGCUUACUAAACUGCCACUGACAUUGAUGCUCGAAAGUGUGGGUAUCAAACAGGAUUAGAUACCCCAGUAGUC
rnacentral:rRNA from 1 species